GACGAACGCUGGCGGCGUGCCUAAUACAUGCAAGUCGAACGAACUCUGGUAUUGAUUGGUGCUUGCAUCAUGAUUUACAUUUGAGUGAGUGGCGAACUGGUGAGUAACACGUGGGAAACCUGCCCAGAAGCGGGGGAUAACACCUGGAAACAGAUGCUAAUACCGCAUAACAACUUGGACCGCAUGGUCCGAGUUUGAAAGAUGGCUUCGGCUAUCACUUUUGGAUGGUCCCGCGGCGUAUUAGCUAGAUGGUGGGGUAACGGCUCACCAUGGCAAUGAUACGUAGCCGACCUGAGAGGGUAAUCGGCCACAUUGGGACUGAGACACGGCCCAAACUCCUACGGGAGGCAGCAGUAGGGAAUCUUCCACAAUGGACGAAAGUCUGAUGGAGCAACGCCGCGUGAGUGAAGAAGGGUUUCGGCUCGUAAAACUCUGUUGUUAAAGAAGAACAUAUCUGAGAGUAACUGUUCAGGUAUUGACGGUAUUUAACCAGAAAGCCACGGCUAACUACGUGCCAGCAGCCGCGGUAAUACGUAGGUGGCAAGCGUUGUCCGGAUUUAUUGGGCGUAAAGCGAGCGCAGGCGGCUUUUUAAGUCUGAUGUGAAAGCCUUCGGCUCAACCGAAGAAGUGCAUCGGAAACUGGGAAACUUGAGUGCAGAAGAGGACAGUGGAACUCCAUGUGUAGCGGUGAAAUGCGUAGAUAUAUGGAAGAACACCAGUGGCGAAGGCGGCUGUCUGGUCUGUAACUGACGCUGAGGCUCGAAAGUAUGGGUAGCAAACAGAAUUAGAUACCCUGGUAGUCCAUACCGUAAACGAUGAAUGCUAAGUGUUGGAGGGUUCCGCCCUUCAGUGCUGCAGCUAACGCAUUAAGCAUUCCGCCUGGGGAGUACGGCCGCAAGGCUGAAACUCAAAGGAAUUGACGGGGGCCCGCACAAGCGGUGGAGCAUGUGGUUUAAUUCGAAGCUACGCGAAGAACCUUACCAGGUCUUGACAUACUAUGCAAAUCUAAGAGAUUAGACGUUCCCUUCGGGGACAUGGAUACAGGUGGUGCAUGGUUGUCGUCGGCUCGUGUCGUGAGAUGUUGGGUUAAGUCCCGCAACGAGCGCAACCCUUAUUAUCAGUUGCCAGCAUUAAGUUGGGCACUCUGGUGAGACUGCCGGUGACAAACCGGAGGAAGGUGGGGAUGACGUCAAAUCAUCAUGCCCCUUAUGACCUGGGCUACACACGUGCUACAAUGGAUGGUACAACGAGUUGCGAACUCGCGAGAGUAAGCUAAUCUCUUAAAGCCAUUCUCAGUUCGGAUUGUAGGCUGCAACUCGCCUACAUGAAGUCGGAAUCGCUAGUAAUCGCGGAUCAGCAUGCCGCGGUGAAUACGUUCCCGGGCCUUGUACACACCGCCCGUCACACCAUGAGAGUUUGUAACACCCAAAGUCGGUGGGGUAACCUUUUAGGAACCAGCCGCCUAAGGUGGGACAGAUGAUUAGGGUG
rnacentral:rRNA from 1 species